rnacentral:rRNA from 1 species
GACGAACGCUGGCGGCGUGCCUAAUACAUGCAAGUAGAACGCUGAAGGAGAAGCUUGCUUCUCUGGAUGAGUUGCGAACGGGUGAGUAACGCGUAGGUAACCUGCCUGGUAGCGGGGGAUAACUAUUGGAAACGAUAGCUAAUACCGCAUAAGAGUAGAUGUUGCAUGACAUUUGCUUAAAAGGUGCAAUUGCAUCACUACCAGAUGGACCUGCGUUGUAUUAGCUAGUUGGUGAGGUAACGGCUCACCAAGGCAACGAUACAUAGCCGACCUGAGGGGGUGAUCGGCCACACUGGGACUGAGACACGGCCCAGACUCCUACGGGAGGCAGCAGUAGGGAAUCUUCGGCAAUGGACGGAAGUCUGACCGAGCAACGCCGCGUGAGUGAAGAAGGUUGUCGGAUCGUAAAGCUCUGUUGUAAGAGAAGAACGAGUGUGAGAGUGGAAAGUUCACACUGUGACGGUAUCUUACCAGAAAGGGACGGCUAACUACGUG